CUGAGUUAGGGUCUCUACUCGAGCCCGACCUCCAACCCUUUGCUUACUUGACCUUUUUGUUGCUUCGGCAGGCCCGCCCCGUAAAACGGGCCGCCGGGGGGGUUAAUUCACCCCUGGCCCGCGCCUGUCGAUGGCCCAACUCAAACUCUUGUUAAUAACGUGUCGUCUGAGUAAAAAACAAAAUAAAUAA
rnacentral:misc_RNA from 1 species